GGUUAAGUUAGAAAGGGCGCACGGUGGAUGCCUUGACACUAGGAGUCGAUGAAGGACGGGACUAACGCCGAUAUGCUUCGGGGAGCUGUAAGUAAGCUUUGAUCCGAAGAUUUCCGAAUGGGGAAACCCACCAUACGUAAUGGUAUGGUAUCCUUAUCUGAAUACAUAGGGUAAGGAAGACAGACCCAGGGAACUGAAACAUCUAAGUACCUGGAGGAAGAGAAAGCAAAUGCGAUUUCCUGAGUAGCGGCGAGCGAAACGGAACAUAGCCCAAACCAAGAGGCUUGCCUCUUGGGGUUGUAGGACAUUCUAUACGGAGUUACAAAGGAACGAGGUAGACGAAGCGACCUGGAAAGGUCCGUCGUAGAGGGUAACAACCCCGUAGUCGAAACUUCGUUCUCUCUUGAAUGUAUCCUGAGUACGGCGGAACACGUGAAAUUCCGUCGGAAUCUGGGAGGACCAUCUCCCAAGGCUAAAUACUCCCUAGUGAUCGAUAGUGAACCAGUACCGUGAGGGAAAGGUGAAAAGCACCCCGGAAGGGGAGUGAAAGAGAUCCUGAAACCGUGUGCCUACAAAUAGUCAGAGCCCGUUAACGGGUGAUGGCGUGCCUUUUGUAGAAUGAACCGGCGAGUUACGAUCCCGUGCGAGGUUAAGCUGAAGAGGCGGAGCCGCAGCGAAAGCGAGUCUGAAUAGGGCGUUUAGUACGUGGUCGUAGACCCGAAACCAGGUGAUCUACCCAUGUCCAGGGUGAAGUUCAGGUAACACUGAAUGGAGGCCCGAACCCACGCACGUUGAAAAGUGCGGGGAUGAGGUGUGGGUAGCGGAGAAAUUCCAAUCGAACCUGGAGAUAGCUGGUUCUCCCCGAAAUAGCUUUAGGGCUAGCCUUAAGUGUAAGAGUCUUGGAGGUAGAGCACUGAUUGGACUAGGGGUCCUCAUCGGAUUACCGAAUUCAGUCAAACUCCGAAUGCCAAUGACUUAUCCUUAGGAGUCAGACUGCGAGUGAUAAGAUCCGUAGUCAAAAGGGAAACAGCCCAGACCGCCAGCUAAGGUCCCAAAGUGUGUAUUAAGUGGAAAAGGAUGUGGAGUUGCUUAGACAACUAGGAUGUUGGCUUAGAAGCAGCCACCAUUUAAAGAGUGCGUAAUAGCUCACUAGUCGAGUGACUCUGCGCCGAAAAUGUACCGGGGCUAAAUACACCACCGAAGCUGCGGAUUGAUACCAAUGGUAUCAGUGGUAGGGAGCGUUCUAAGGACAGUGAAGUCAGACCGUAAGGACUGGUGGAGUGCUUAGAAGUGAGAAUGCCGGUAUGAGUAGCGAAAGACGGGUGAGAAUCCCGUCCACCGAAUGCCUAAGGUUUCCUGAGGAAGGCUCGUCCGCUCAGGGUUAGUCAGGACCUAAGCCGAGGCCGACAGGCGUAGGCGAUGGACAACAGGUUGAUAUUCCUGUACCACCUCUUUAUCGUUUGAGCAAUGGAGGGACGCAGAAGGAUAGAAGAAGCGUGCGAUUGGUUGUGCACGUCCAAGCAGUUAGGCUGAUAAGUAGGCAAAUCCGCUUAUCAUAAAGGCUGAGCUGUGAUGGGGAAGCUCCUUAUGGAGCGAAGUCUUUGAUUCCCCGCUGCCAAGAAAAGCUUCUAGCGAGAUAAAAGGUGCCUGUACCGCAAACCGACACAGGUAGGCGAGGAGAGAAUCCUAAGGUGUGCGAGAGAACUCUGGUUAAGGAACUCGGCAAAAUGACCCCGUAACUUCGGGAGAAGGGGUGCUUUCUUAACGGAAAGCCGCAGUGAAUAGGCCCAAGCGACUGUUUAGCAAAACACAGCUCUCUGCGAAGCCGUAAGGCGAAGUAUAGGGGGUGACACCUGCCCGGUGCUGGAAGGUUAAGGAGAGGGGUUAGCGUAAGCGAAGCUCUGAACUGAAGCCCCAGUAAACGGCGGCCGUAACUAUAACGGUCCUAAGGUAGCGAAAUUCCUUGUCGGGUAAGUUCCGACCCGCACGAAAGGUGUAACGAUUUGGGCACUGUCUCAACCAGAGACUCGGUGAAAUUAUAGUACCUGUGAAGAUGCAGGUUACCCGCGACAGGACGGAAAGACCCCGUGGAGCUUUACUGUAGCCUGAUAUUGAAUUUUGGUACAGUUUGUACAGGAUAGGCGGGAGCCAUUGAAACCGGAGCGCUAGCUUCGGUGGAGGCGCUGGUGGGAUACCGCCCUGACUGUAUUGAAAUUCUAACCUACGGGUCUUAUCGACCCGGGAGACAGUGUCAGGUGGGCAGUUUGACUGGGGCGGUCGCCUCCUAAAGUGUAACGGAGGCGCCCAAAGGUUCCCUCAGAAUGGUUGGAAAUCAUUCGUAGAGUGCAAAGGCAUAAGGGAGCUUGACUGCGAGACCUACAAGUCGAGCAGGGACGAAAGUCGGGCUUAGUGAUCCGGUGGUUCCGCAUGGAAGGGCCAUCGCUCAACGGAUAAAAGCUACCCCGGGGAUAACAGGCUUAUCUCCCCCAAGAGUCCACAUCGACGGGGAGGUUUGGCACCUCGAUGUCGGCUCAUCGCAUCCUGGGGCUGUAGUCGGUCCCAAGGGUUGGGCUGUUCGCCCAUUAAAGCGGUACGCGAGCUGGGUUCAGAACGUCGUGAGACAGUUCGGUCCCUAUCCGUCGUGGGCGUAGGAAAUUUGAGAGGAGCUGUCCUUAGUACGAGAGGACCGGGAUGGACGCACCGCUGGUGUACCAGUUGUUCUGCCAAGGGCAUAGCUGGGUAGCUAUGUGCGGAAGGGAUAAGUGCUGAAAGCAUCUAAGCAUGAAGCCCCCCUCAAGAUGAGAUUUCCCAUAGCGUAAGCUAGUAAGAUCCCUGAAAGAUGAUCAGGUUGAUAGGUUCGAGGUGGAAGCAUGGUGACAUGUGGAGCUGACGAAUACUAAUAGAUCGAGGACUUAACCAU
rnacentral:rRNA from 1 species